rnacentral:tRNA from 5 species
GGGUUUGUAGCUCAGGUGGUUAGAGCGCACGCCUGAUAAGCGUGAGGUCGGAAGUUCAACUCUUCCCAGGCCCACCA